rnacentral:rRNA from 1 species
ACAUAAGUAACGAUAAAGCGGGUGAAAAGCCCGCUCGCCGGAAGACCAAGGGUUCCUGUCCAACGUUAAUCGGGGCAGGGUGAGUCGACCCCUAAGGCGAGGCCGAAAGGCGUAGUCGAUGGGAAACGGGUUAAUAUUCCCGUACUUGGUGUUACUGCGAAGGGGGGACGGAGAAGGCUAUGUUGGCCGGGCGACGGUUGUCCCGGUUUAAGCGUGUAGGCUGGUUUUCCAGGCAAAUCCGGAAAAUCAAGGCUGAGGCGUGAUGACG